rnacentral:rRNA from 1 species
GACAGAGGUGCCAAGCGUUAGGCGGAAUCACUGGGCUUAAAGCGUGUGUAGGCGGAAUGGUAAGUACCUUGUGAAAUCCCACGGCUCAACCGUGGAACUGCUGGGUAUACUGCUUUUCUUGAGCCACUUAGGGGCUGUCGGAACAAACGGUGGAGCGGUGAAAUGCGUAGAUAUCGUUUGGAACGCCAAUGGUGAAAGCAGACAGCUGGGAGUGUGCUGACGCUGAGACACGAAAGCCAGGGGAGCGAACGGG